rnacentral:rRNA from 1 species
UGGGGAAUUUUGGACAAUGGGCGAAAGCCUGAUCCAGCAAUGCCGCGUGUGUGAAGAAGGCCUUCGGGUUGUAAAGCACUUUUGUCCGGAAAGAAAUCCUUGGCUCUAAUACAGUCGGGGGAUGACGGUACCGGAAGAAUAAGCACCGGCUAACUACGUGCCAGCAGCCGCGGUAAUACGUAGGGUGCAAGCGUUAAUCGGAAUUACUGGGCGUAAAGCGUGCGCAGGCGGUUUGCUAAGACCGAUGUGAAAUCCCCGGGCUCAACCUGGGAACUGCAUUGGUGACUGGCAGGCUAGAGUAUGGCAGAGGGGGGUAGAAUUCCACGUGUAGCAGUGAAAUGCGUAGAGAUGUGGAGGAAUACCGAUGGCGAAGGCAGCCCCCUGGGCCAAUACUGACGCUCAUGCACGAAAGCGUGGGGAGCAAACAGGAUUAGAUACCCUGGUAGUCCACGCCCUAAACGAUGUCAACUAGUUGUUGGGGAUUCAUUCCUUAGUAACGUAGCUAACGCGUGAGGUUGACCGCCUGGGGAGUACGGUCGCAA